rnacentral:tRNA from 1 species
UGGGGGAUCGUCUAGUGGUAGGACAUCACACUUUGGAUGUGAUUACGGAGGUUCGAACCCUCCUCCCCCAGCCA